UUGUUCCCCUACUCAGGUAGCUCUGCUGUUUCUUGGAAACAUUUCUCCAGCAUAAACAGUAGGAUCUCCACCUGUAAAAAUGGACGUUGCCUCCUAAAAAAUUAAAAGCCUAAAGCAUAAUGCAAUAAAUGCAUGUAAGACAAGUUUUGUACCUGUAAAAGCACAUGGUUAUGCAUCAGUCAUUUUGAUUAAAUCUGAGGCUUGCAUGAUGAAUGUUUCAAGGCCAUGUUAUUUUCCUUCAUCUGUGUUAACCAGAACGAGGUCUUCAUCCUUGUUUUAUCGAUGGCCCUGGACACAAUGUAUUGCAGUCAGGAGGAAUGGUGUACUCUGGUGUAGUGUUUGGACCCGACCGGCCUUGGAUUGGAUACUGUAUGUUAUUGACACUCUGCCCAGCUGUGAUACACUGAUAACUGUAUCUGUCACCCAGAAGCGAUUACUGUUCUCACAGUUAGUGUUGCUAUCUAAGUGGGGAGCAAAAUGUUUCACAUUCAAUUUUAAAAAGAAAUUGCAAUACACGUUUUAUGUAGAAUAAAGGAAUAAAGAAAUAUGCCGCAUUUGCUGAAUUGAGGAAUAAAGACAUUUGCAAUAUAAAAGAUGAACGAUCAUUUCAGAUCGCCACACAGCUGAAACCCUGGGAGGAUUACUCUCUGUUUUAAAAUGGUGUCACAAGAGUUUACAACUAAUCCAUAGAAACCUGACCCCUUUUUAAAGAUUGCAAUUUUAUCCAGCAAGAUUUUGUUUUCUGUUCAUUCUGUGUUUUCUUAAUGAAAGAACCGAGACUGUGUCACUGUCCUGGUUCUGGCGUUAUUGCUGACUUCCUGUCAGUUUCAUUUUGUCUGAUUCCAGAAUGUGACUCCCUCCUCUGCGAUAAACGGUUCUUAAACUAAGAUUGCGAAGAGCUAUCUGUGCUAUUAAAUUCUGCACUAUUCUGUGUAAUCUGUGCUAUUAAAUGCUCAAAUGAACCCCCCACCCCCAACACACACACAGUGUGAUGCUACAUUCAGCAAUUAAAGGAAACGACUCGCGUCGACAGAGCCCUUCAAAACAUCGGUCCUGAAAGACGUGACUUGUUGAGUGAGCCAUGUGAAAACAUCUCCGUCUUCUCCGGGAGAGUCGUCAUCGUGUUCAAGUCACAGUACCCCGGGGUCAGGAAAGGGGCUCGGUUUAAACACCACACUGGACAGCGUCACCUCUCCAGAGCCUGCUGUCACAGCACAGCCCGAGGCAGACGCGUCACGGUGAUGAAGACCCCAAUAACAGGUGUACCAUACUCCUGCCACUGAGACCAGGACACAGGUCGUGGGGAGCGACACGGAUCACCCGUGGGGCGGACUCGCCUACUCGAGCUGCUGCUUUCUGAAUGUCUGCAGCCCCAGCGCGCCGGUGCCGAAACUUCCCCCCACAAACUUAGCCGGCCGUCUACGUUACAGACACUGUGUACAUAUUGUGACCACAGCUGGGGUACAGCCUGAGACCCCUGACCUCCCCUCUGGCGUCACCAACACGCUCCCCGUGAGAGAAAACGACAACAACGGCCGGUCGCCGCCAGCCGUGACCUAAUGGAGAUGACCGUACAGACAAGAGCUACAUCACCGUGCACGUCCUUUGGAAAAACCCAACCAAGCUGUCCCUCCCUGUGAGCUUCCUGAGCAACUCCACCUGUAUGACAACUCCAACCUGUCUCUGAGCAGCGUGAGCUCCAGCCGAUUCAAUCCCCCAAUUUCCUCACCUUCUGUCCAGAGCCGAACGGACCAGGCGUCUCACAGAUCCCCAGGAGCCUCACGCGUCCCGUUUCCCCCUCAAAAAGGAAAAUACAGGCAUACCUGUCAGGGAUGAACAAAACAAGCAAGGCCAAGACUUUUUUUUUCCCAAAAAAGAGAACACAUUUGAUUAAGCAUGUCACGAUGAUUUCCACCAGUAGUACAUUGUCUAGCAUAUUGUAACAAUGAAUCGUUUCCCUCAUUUUUAAUAGGAGAAGCAAUAAAGGGUGUUUGAACUUUUAA